UGGCGAACGGGUGAGUAACGCGUGAGGAACCUGCCUCAAAGAGGGGGACAACAGUUGGAAACGACUGCUAAUACCGCAUAAGCCCACGGGUCGGCAUCGACCUGAGGGAAAAGGAGCAAUCCGCUUUGAGAUGGCCUCGCGUCCGAUUAGCUAGUUGGUGAGGUAACGGCCCACCGAGGCGACGAUCGGUAGCCGGACUGAGAGGUUGAACGGCCACAUUGGGACUGAGACACGGCCCAG
rnacentral:rRNA from 1 species